CGGGGCGUGGCGAAGCCUGGUAUCGCACCCCGUUUGGGUCGGGGAGAGCGCUGGUUCGAAUCCAGUCGCCCCGA
rnacentral:tRNA from 1 species